rnacentral:lncRNA from 1 species
CAAACUCUCAGUUUCCAGAAAAAAAACACAAUGUCCACACUGGAGAGAAAAAUCAGGAUACAAAAUGUACACCAAAGCUCAGUGUAACAAACACAUGAUUACUUUUAUGGCUGUCCUAACAGAAUAUUUUGUAUGAAGAGAACCAUCUAAAAAAAUGGUAUAUUUAGUUACUAUAGACAGAACAGUCAUGUUUCUUACCGGAAUAACCCUGGAAGAGCUGAGGUGAACAGCUUACCAAGCAAAAUCUUGAUUAUGAUUAUAAGGCAUAGGCACCCAUUUACAGGUAUACUAUUAGGCAGACUUCCAUCCAAAAACCUAGGUCAUCCAUUCUUUUAUUCUGUAAAUAUUUGAGA